rnacentral:rRNA from 1 species
ACCAAAGAUUUAUCGCCCAAGGAUGAGCCCGCGUAGGAUUAGGUAGUUGGUGGGGUAAAGGCCUACCAAGCCGACGAUCCUUAGCUGGUCUGAGAGGAUGAUCAGCCACACUGGGACUGAGACACGGCCCAGACUCCUACGGGAGGCAGCAGUGGGGAAUAUUGGACAAUGGGGGAAACCCUGAUCCAGCAAUGCCGCGUGAGUGAUGAAGGCCUUAGGGUCGUAAAGCUCUUUUACCAGGGAUGAUAAUGACAGUACCUGGAGAAUAAGCUCCGGCUAACUCCGUGCCAGCAGCCGCGGUAAUACGGAGGGAGCUAGCGUUGUUCGGAAUUACUGGGCGUAAAGCGCACGUAGGCGGUUAUUCAAAGUCAAAGGUGAAAGCCCSGGGCUCAACCCCGGAACUGCCUUUGAAACUAGAUGACUGGAAUCUUG